rnacentral:rRNA from 1 species
UGACCUUCGGGGGACGAUACGGCGUCGAGCGGCGGACGGGUGAGUAAUGCCUAGGAAAUUGCCCUGGUGUGGGGGAUAACCAUUGGAAACGAUGGCUAAUACCGCAUAAUACCUACGGGUCAAAGAGGGGGACCUUCGGGCCUCUCGCGUCAGGAUAUGCCUAGGUGGGAUUAGCUAGUUGGUGAGGUAAUGGCUCACCAAGGCGACGAUCCCUAGCUGGUCUGAGAGGAUGAUCAGCCACACUGGAACUGAGACACGGUCCAGACUCCUACGGGAGGCAGCAGUGGGGAAUAUUGCACAAUGGGCGCAAGCCUGAUGCAGCCAUGCCGCGUGUGUGAAGAAGGCCUUCGGGUUGUAAAGCACUUUCAGUCGUGAGGAAGGUAGUGUAGUUAAUAGCUGCAUUAUUUGACGUUAGCGACAGAAGAAGCACCGGCUAACUCCGUGCCAGCAGCCGCGGUAAUACGGAGGGUGCGAGCGUUAAUCGGAAUUACUGGGCGUAAAGCGCAUGCAGGUGGUUUGUUAAGUCAGAUGUGAAAGCCCGGGGCUCAACCUCGGAAUAGCAUUUGAAACUGGCAGACUAGAGUACUGUAGAGGGGGGUAGAAUUUCAGGUGUAGCGGUGAAAUGCGUAGAGAUCUGAAGGAAUACCGGUGGCGAAGGCGGCCCCCUGGACAGAUACUGACACUCAGAUGCGAAAGCGUGGGGAGCAAACAGGAUUAGAUACCCUGGUAGUCCACGCCGUAAACGAUGUCUACUUGGAGGUUGUGGCCUUGAGCCGUGGCUUUCGGAGCUAACGCGUUAAGUAGACCGCCUGGGGAGUACGGUCGCAAGAUUAAAACUCAAAAUGAAUUGACGGGGGGCCCGCACAAGCGGUGGAGCAUGUGGUUUAAUUCGAUGCAACGCG